GCAGCGGUGGUUCAGAGGUAGAAUCCUCGCCUUUUGUGAGGGAGACCUGGGUUCAAUUCUUGGCCAAUGCA
rnacentral:tRNA from 1 species